rnacentral:rRNA from 1 species
AUUGAACGCUGGCGGCAGGCCUAACACAUGCAAGUCGAGCGGCAGCGGGAAAGUAGCUUGCUACUUUUGCCGGCGAGCGGCGGACGGGUGAGUAAUGCCUGGGAAAUUGCCCAGUCGAGGGGGAUAACAGUUGGAAACGACUGCUAAUACCGCAUACGCCCUACGGGGGAAAGCAGGGGACCUUCGGGCCUUGCGCGAUUGGAUAUGCCCAGGUGGGAUUAGCUAGUUGGUGAGGUAAUGGCCCACCAAGGCGACGAUCCCUAGCUGGUCUGAGAGGAUGAUCAGCCACACUGGAACUGGGACACGGUCCAGACUCCUACGGGAGGCAGCAGUGGGGAAUAUUGCACAAUGGGGGAAACCCUGAUGCAGCCAUGCCGCGUGUGUGAAGAAGGCCUUCGGGUUGUAAAGCACUUUCAGCGAGGAGGAAAGGUUGAUGCCUAAUACGUAUCAACUGUGACGUUACUCGCAGAAGAAGCACCGGCUAACUCCGUGCCAGCCGCCGCCGUAAUAC